rnacentral:rRNA from 1 species
AGCGAACGCUGGCGACAGGCUUAACACAUGCAAGUCGAGCGGGCACUUUCGGGUGUCAGCGGCGGACGGGUGAGUAACGCGUGGGAACGUGCCCUCUGGUUCGGAAUAACUCAGGGAAACUUGAGCUAAUACCGGAUACGCCCUUUUGGGGAAAGGCUUGCUGCCGGAGGAUCGGCCCGCGUCUGAUUAGCUAGUUGGUGAGGUAACGGCUCACCAAGGCGACGAUCAGUAGCUGGUCUGAGAGGAUGAUCAGCCACACUGGGACUGAGACACGGCCCAGACUCCUACGGGAGGCAGCAGUGGGGAAUAUUGGACAAUGGGCGCAAGCCUGAUCCAGCCAUGCCGCGUGAGUGAUGAAGGCCUUAGGGUUGUAAAGCUCUUUUAUCCGGGACGAUAAUGACGGUACCGGAGGAAUAAGCCCCGGCUAACUUCGU